rnacentral:lncRNA from 1 species
CCCAAUCCAGAAAAAAUCCAUAUCCGAAAGCCAAUAAACCUAUACCCCAGGAAACCCAAAUCAAUUCCCAAAAGGAAACUCGAACCAGCCCACAAUCAAAGCAACCAGGAAUCACCACCCAGGCUUAAAAAUGAAGCCUGAAGAAGACCCAUGUUGGUCUCCGGUGAAGAUCGAAGGACGGCAAUAGCGAAGCAGAUGGUGGUCUGUGCCAGUUUUAGGCUGUGGAUUUUUUGACUUGGUGCUUUGUUUGGG